AAGGGCGUAUGGCGGAUGCCUAGGCUCACGGAGGCGAUGAAGGACGUGAUAAGCUGCGAUAAGCCUCGGGUAGAUGCAAAUAAUCUUUGAUCCGAGGAUUUCCGAAUGGGACAACCUGACUGUCUGAAUGAUAGUCA
rnacentral:sRNA from 1 species